AUUGAACGCUGGCGGCAUGCCUUACACAUGCAAGUCGAACGGCAGCACGGGUGCUUGCACCUGGUGGCGAGUGGCGAACGGGUGAGUAAUACAUCGGAACGUACCUUAUCGUGGGGGAUAACGCAGCGAAAGCUGUGCUAAUACCGCAUACGCCCUGAGGGGGAAAGCGGGGGAUCGCAAGACCUCGCGCGAGUAGAGCGGCCGACGCCUGAUUAGCUUGUUGGUGGGGUAAAAGCCCACCAAGGCGACGAUCAGUAGCUGGUCUGAGAGGACGAUCAGCCACACUGGGACUGAGACACGGCCCAGACUCCUACGGGAGGCAGCAGUGGGGAAUUUUGGACAAUGGGGGCAACCCUGAUCCAGCAAUGCCGCGUGAGUGAAGAAGGCCUUCGGGUUGUAAAGCUCUUUUGUCAGGGAAGAAACACCGGCUCUAACACAGUCCGGGAAUGACGGUACCUGAAGAAUAAGCACCGGCUAACUACGUGCCAGCCGCCGCAGUAA
rnacentral:rRNA from 1 species